rnacentral:misc_RNA from 1 species
UCUCCGUAGGUGAACCUGCGGAGGGAUCAUUACUGAGUGAGGGCUCCGGCCCGACCUCCAACCCCAUGUGAACCGAAACCUGUUGCUUCGGGGGCGACCCUGCCUUUCGGCGCGGCGCCCCCGGAGGCUCAUCAAACACUGCAUCUCUGCGUCGGAGUUUAAACAAAUUAAACAAAACUUUCAACAACGGAUCUCUUGGUUCGGGCAUCGAUGAAGAACGUAGC